rnacentral:rRNA from 1 species
GUCGAACGGAAAGGCCUCAGCUUGCUGGGGUACUCGAGUGGCGAACGGGUGAGUAACACGUGGGUGAUCUGCCCUGCACUUCGGGAUAAGCCUGGGAAACUGGGUCUAAUACCGGAUAGGACCAUCGUUUAGUGUCGGUGGUGGAAAGUUUUUCGGUGUGGGAUGAGCUCGCGGCCUAUCAGCUUGUUGGUGGGGUAAUGGCCUACCAAGGCGUCGACGGGUAGCCGGCCUGAGAGGGUGUACGGCCACAUUGGGACUGAGAUACGGCCCAGACUCCUACGGGAGGCAACAGUGGGGAAUAUUGCACAGUGGGCGCAAGCGUGAUGCAGCGACGCCGCGUGAGGGAUGACGGCCUUCGGGUUGUAAACUCCUUUCGUCAGCGACGAAGCGAAAGUGACGGUACCUGGAUAAGAAGCACCGGCUAACUACGUGCCAGCAGCCGCGGUAAUACGUAGGGUGCGAGCGUUGUCCGGAAUUACUGGGCGUAAAGAGCUCGUAGGUGGUUUGUCGCGUCGUUUGUGGAAUACCGCAGCUUAACUGUGGGGUUGCAGGCGAUACGGGCAUAACUUGAGUGCUGUAGGGGAGACUGGAAUUCCUGGUGUAGCGGUGGAAUGCGCAGAUAUCAAGAGGAGCACCGA